rnacentral:rRNA from 1 species
AUUGAACGCUGGCGGCAGGCCUAACACAUGCAAGUCGAACGAGUGGCGGACUGGUGAGUAAUGUCUGGGAAACUGCCUGAUGGAGGGGGAUAACGACUGGAAACGGUAGCUAAUACCGCUUACCGUCGGAUGUGCCCAGAUGGGAUUAUCUAGUGGGUGGGGUAAAGGCUCACCAAGGCGACGAUCCCUAGCUGGUCUGAGAGGCUGACCAGCCACACUGGGACUGAGACACGGCCCAGACUCCUACGGGAGGCAGCAGUGGGGAAUAUUGGACAAUGGGCGCAAGCCUGAUCGAGCCAUGCCGCGUGUAUGAAGAAGGCCUUCGGGUUGUAAAGCACUGUCAGCGGGGAGGCGGUACCCGCAGAAGAAGCACCGGCUAACUCCGUGCCAGCAGCCGCGGUAAUAC